UCAGCAGCUCCUCACACGCCUUCCCCUCACGGCCUUCGCUCUCCUCGUGGCCUCCUCUGGGCUCUCUCUGGCACUUUGAGAUCUUCCUUACACUGUGCUGCCCAAACCUGCCCACAGCACUCGAGGGCUGAAUGAGGAUGAGAAAAAAAAAAUUAUAAUCAGCACCUUCAGCUUCAAUCAGCAGCAUGUUCCAAGAUCACAGGAUCUGAAAUUCAAAUGAUCAAGAGGCCAUUAGAGACAGUAUAGAUUUAGCAGAUUGCUAGGUACAAAGGAGCAACACAUCCCUGAAGAUUCCUGGACCAGUGACUUCCCAAAGAAGAAAAAGGUGUGAUGAUAGCCUCAAGCAGGUGUAUUUCUUUGAUUUAUUAUGGUAAAUUAUGGUUUAUCUACUGUGUUAACCCAUGUCAUCUGACCAGUUGCAUUAGAAAACAAUAAAGCAAAAGACAAGACAAUAACAAACCACCAACCUGGCUACACAUUGCCUAAAACAAUCACAAGUGCCUUCCUCUACAUCUUCCACCCAUUUUCUGGUCAGUAGGUGUGGGAAAUGCAAGCACAGAGAGCUCCCAAUGCCUCAAGUUCAGAGAUAGACGGACACAGUGUUUGACCUAAGGCCUUGGAGAAGGCUUGAAGCUUUAGAAUAGCACAGUGAAACAGACAUGAAGUAAGGUUUGAUGUUUAAGCAGAAAUAUGUUUUAAGCAAGUAGAUAUAGGCCUCAUAUAAGUGGACAAAUAUAUUAAGCAAGAUAGUAGAAGAUUUUAGAGAUUAACAAUAGAACUUGCUGUAGAGUUGAUAAAAAGUAGAAGAUACAGUAAUAAGUUUCUGUAGAGUUAUAUGAUUGGGUAGAAAAAGAUGCAUUGCAGUAAAUAAUGUAAAAUAUAGCAAUUAGCAAUUGGUUAUGAAGAGGCUAGCGAGCUUUGUGGAAGCAGCUGAUUAGAUAAGGAAUUUUUUAAAGACAUUGUAACUAGAAUUAUAACAGUUUUCUGAUGGAAGGCUUCUAAUGUGAAAACCGUGGAUGUAACAGCCUCAUAGUCUCACCCUUUCAUGAGACUGAUUUUGCAGUAAACCAUCUUUUGAACACCUCAUCAGUCGACUCUGUCUUUCUGUAUCCCAAACAAGCAGGCACGUCCUGCUCAGUCCAGGGCACUCUGCAGUCUGGCUCGCCUUUGGAGGCACA